rnacentral:lncRNA from 1 species
GAUUGAAUCCAGUGCCUCACACAUGCGAGGCAAGCACUUUACCACUGAGCUACAGCCUCAGCCCCCAGGACUGCCCAUUCUUGAACUUCAGGGUCCAUGUUGGAUUCCUAUCACUUUGUCAGCGUAUAUGGUAGGUGUUCAAUGAUGUUGAUCGAACUGAUGGGAUGUUGGGUUAACUUCAUUCCUGACUCUAAGGAGAGCGGGAAGGCUAAUGAGCGAGUUCCAACAAUGUGUCAGUCAUUUGUUCUUAGGUUCUUUAAUGUAAUCCCCAUGGGAGAUUUGUCACACCUUUCCCAAGCAAGAACCAGGCUUACAUCCCCAGGCCCCCUAGGGAGAGGCAAGGUGAGUCUGAGGCUCAAACCCAGUCAUGCUGAUCCCAAAGGUGGUGUUUUCCUCAUCAUCUACUAUAUCCCUCUGGACACUUCCUUUAUGUGCGAGAGAGAAGCAGACUCCAUAAAGGUGAAGCAGCUUGCCAUCCCGAAAGACCUUGGUUAGCAUCUGGAGGUCACAUUUAAAGGUUAGACAUGGACUUUGUGCUGAUAACUAUGCUGAUCAGGGUGUGGAGCCAGGGGCUCAGUCUAGGGCUUGGGGGAGUGGGGGGCUGAAACCCCAUCAGCACUCAGCGUUCCUCCUUGUUUCAGUGCCUCCCUCAUGGUCAAGUUUCAGACCAGCAAAAGAAAUAAAUGACUUCUGACAACAGGAGAAGUCAUUGGGAGAGCCAAUAAAGAUGCCAUAGAUCUGGCAGGGGAACAAGAAACAGCUCGGGUGCUGUGCUUGGAGGCCACAGGUAGGUGGUUUUCUUGGGCUCCUGGAUGAAUCAGCUUGGCGGCCACCCAGACUUCCAACGGGAUCCAGAGGUGCAGCCAGCUCUGGGUCCAUGCAGGCCAGCUCUCUCCUCACAUUUCUCUAGGUGGAGGCUGUUUCCUAGUCGGCCGGUGCCUCCCCUAAUUCCACUUGAUCUGCCUGGGUGCUGCUGUGCUCCAUGGUUGGCCUCCUCCAGGUGCCCUUAUGACCUGUCUUCACAGAGUGCAUUGAGACUGUGUCUCCCAGAGGGUUUGAGACAUGUGCCUUUACUUCAUCAUCCCUCCUACACCACGUGGGGCUGGUGCUGACCGCAUUGCAUUGCAGUCCCAUAGCAUCUGACUGGUGCGGUCAGCAGAGUCAGGAUGAUGGGAUGGCUGACCCCAGGAAACACCGCAUUGGACUGUCUGCCAAGCGCCGACACCAUUCUCCACGAGGGGAGCGGACGAAGGAGAGUUUUAUUAGGGGGUGUUAUUUUGUAAUAAUUGUUUAAAUGUUUGCUUCGUAGGAGAACAUGGAUAUGCAAGGGGUAGAGGUCAGGUUUGGGGUCUGAACCCAUCCUCUUAAGGCACAGUUUCUCAAUGGGUUCGCACCACAGACCACUUCAAGGAUGUCCGGCACAGCCACAAAUCAUCAAUUUAUAGUUUUUUAAACUGUAGAGUUCCAGCAAAUAAGUUUACCUUGAACGAUGAAACAUCAUUUUCUUCUGUUUUCCAUGAACUCUCCGGUGAUUAAAGUUGCCCAGGGUGGCCACGAAAAUACGAUCCUCCUGCCUCAGCCUCCCUUGUAGCUGGAAACGUCAUUUACAACAUUAAUAAUCGUUUUGAGUCAGCGAGAAGACCUUCUUCAGCCCUCCCUUGCUCCCGAAGGCAG